GUUGCAUCUGUAAAUGUGAUUCCUCACCUAACAUGAUGCCUGGAAAGAUUAUUUUUGUGAAGAAGAUUCAAGCACUUGCAUGGCUACACGGCAGGAUGCAUGACUAUCAUGUGGAUUCCGGGUUUGAUUCCAGCUCACACCCUGGACUUUUUUUCUUACUAAGGAUGACAGCUGCGAUGGACCCUGGUGGCAGUGGCAAACAAUUUUGCCACUAAAACCGGCUGUUGUUGUGAGCUCAUAACAGCUUACACUACAAAAGUAUCUUUCUUUUGUGUUUAGUUAUGACACAGCCGGAAAUCAUAUGGCCCUACCAAUGAAGAACAGCGCUGUGUGAUACGAGUGUACGCAUAUCAUG
rnacentral:lncRNA from 1 species